rnacentral:ncRNA from 1 species
GAUACCUGGCUUGUUGCAGCCAGGCAUUCACAGCAACCUCGCUGGUCCUUUGAUGUCGGUGCCAAACGUGGGGCUGUUCACCCACUAGUAGGGAACGUGAGCUCAGAUUAGACUGGCAUGAGUCAGGUU